rnacentral:misc_RNA from 1 species
GAGAGGGGGCACUUUGUUACCUUUUUCAUGAUGCACGCAUCCAUGGCAGAACAGACAGCGGUACAGAGUACUGCUGCGACGCAGGGGUAGAAGAGCCGAGCUGAACAAAGAUCAACCUCAACAACCAUACCAACAAGAACAACAAGGUCCUCAAACAGAGGAAAAAUAAAUAAAUAAAAAAAGGAGAAAGAAAGGGGCAAAGCUCAGGGAGAGAGAGAUGGAGCUGCAAUGGAGGUGGAGAGAUGGGAAGUAGAUAUCAUGGAGCUCAAGAAGAAGAGGAAGAACAGGGUCAAGAACAGUCUGCAUAGCUAUUUUGUUGAAAUAGGUCCCUUGUUUCUUUGAGAAUAAGAAGAGGGAUUCAUGGCAUGCAGGGAGCGAUGGUGGGUUUAAAAUCUCGGAUAAAAGAACAAGAAAGUGCCUUUCUUUUCUAAAUCUGAGCAACCCACUUGAGCUAACCCAUUUCUUCACUUCACUUCACUUGCACAAAUCUUGGCCUUUUCCAUUUGAUCUCGUCAAAAAAGCGCCGCUUGCCUUCUCGGUUUCUCUGUAUACAUGAGUGGGAUGCCCUUUCAUUUGCAGGGGAAGGGGGGCUUAGAUAUUGAUAUUGCUGCUUUUGCUUCGAUUUGUUCUAAGAAAAAUACUAGGAAAGAGAAACUACAACAGCACGAAGUUAAUAGCUUCGCAAGCCCAGAGCCCACCUCAGUUCUUCAUAUGAGAAGAAGUCCGAGCCCACCUACAUCGGCUUCAACUCUCUCAUCCUCCUUUAACGGCGGCGGCGGCGGGGGAAACUCCACUGACAAUACCACCACCACCACCACCCCUUCAACCACCACGGCCACAGAAAAAGGGGUGAAUCCUGUGAGCAACGAAAGAAAGGAUGAAUGGGCUACGGAGUUGCAGCCAAUCCCGAGCGGACUAGAUAUUGUCUCCACAGGAGAGAGAUGUGGACUUGGUCUGGAAGACUGGGAGAACAUGUUAUCGGAGCCGAACCAGGAACAGUCCUUAUUGAGGUGGAUCGCGGGGGAUGUGGAUGAAUCUUAUGGGCUAAGGCAGCUAUUGCAGGGUGGAAACAAUCCGCCGGAUUUUGAUGGCAAUGGCGUUGGUGCGUUGGGGAUUGUUGAUCAGGGUCCUGGGUUUGAGGGCAUUUGUGGAAUUGCUGGUGGGUUUCCAAGCAUUGGUACUAAUUUGUCUCCUUUUCCUGCUUCUGGGUUCCCUUCAACUAAUAAUAACAGUAAUGGGAAUGGAAAGGUUGGUUCUGGUUUAGUUACUUCUCCCUCUUCUUCUGCUGGGUUGGUUAAUUAUCGAGGUGUUGGAUUGGGAAGCAACAACAACAGUAACUGUAGUAUACAAAACCCAGUUUUUGGUUCUCCAGCUAGCAGUGUUCCUCUUCCGGCUACUUUGCCUACUGGAAUGCUUUACCAUCAUAAUCUGCAACACCAAAUUGGCGCUCAGGAGGAGAAGCCACUGGUACUUAAUCCACAGAUGUUAAUGAACCAGCAAUAUCCUCACAAUCCACACUGUCAAAAUCCAAACUUUUUCUUGCCAUUGUCGUUUCCCCAGCAAGAAAAUCACCUCCUUCAGCCCCAACAAAAGCGCCACAACUCCGGGGGCAUAGACCCAAUAUCUCAGAUGAUUCCCAAGCUUCAAUUCAACGAUCCCGGGCACGAGAUAUUACUACGAAAACAGCAGCAGCAACACCAACAGCAUCCGGGAUUUCCACAAGGGAUGCAGUUUCUUCAUCCACAUCUUCAACAGAAGCCAUUGGUGGUGAAGAAAGAAGAAGUAGCAGCCCAACACCAGCAACAACAGCACCAAAAUGCGUUGCUGGACCAGCUCUACAAGGCAGCUGAGCUGGUAGGGACUGGGAAUUUCUCACACGCGCAAGGGAUAUUGGCGCGGCU